rnacentral:rRNA from 1 species
CCACCUACCUCUCCCACACUCUAGAAAAGUAGUUUCAAAUGCAGUUCUGUAGUUAAGCUACAGGAUUUCACAUCUGACUUACUUUCCCGCCUACGCACUCUUUACGCCCAGUGAUUCCGAGUAACGCUUGCACCCUCCGUAUUACCGCGGCUGCUGGCACGGAGUUAGCCGGUGCUUAUUCGUUAGAUACCGUCAUAAUCUUCUCUAACAAAAGGAGUUUACAAUCCUAAAACCUUCAUCCUCCACGCGGCGUUGCUGCUUCAGGCUUUCGCCCAUUGAGCAAUAUUCCCUACUGCUGCCUCCCGUAGGAGUCUGGACCGUGUCUCAGUUCCAGUGUGUCCGAUCACCCUCUCAGGCCGGAUACCCGUCAUAGCCUUGGUGAGCCUUUACAA